AGAGUUUGAUCAUGGCUCAGAUUGAACGCUGGCGGCAUGCCUUACACAUGCAAGUCGAACGGUAACAGGUUAAGCUGACGAGUGGCGAACGGGUGAGUAAUAUAUCGGAACGUGCCCAGUCGUGGGGGAUAACUGCUCGAAAGAGCAGCUAAUACCGCAUACGACCUGAGGGUGAAAGCGGGGGAUCGCAAGACCUCGCGCGAUUGGAGCGGCCGAUAUCAGAUUAGCUAGUUGGCGGGGUAAAAGCCCACCAAGGCGACGAUCUGUAGCUGGUCUGAGAGGACGACCAGCCACACUGGGACUGAGACACGGCCCAGACUCCUACGGGAGGCAGCAGUGGGGAAUUUUGGACAAUGGACGCAAGUCUGAUCCAGCCAUGCCGCGUGCGGGAAGAAGGCCUUCGGGUUGUAAACCGCUUUUGUCAGGGAAGAAACGAUCUGCUCUAAUACAGUGGGUUAAUGACGGUACCUGAAGAAUAAGCACCGGCUAACUACGUGCCAGCAGCCGCGGUAAUACGUAGGGUGCAAGCGUUAAUCGGAAUUACUGGGCGUAAAGCGUGCGCAGGCGGUUAUGCAAGACAGAUGUGAAAUCCCCGGGCUCAACCUGGGAACUGCAUUUGUGACUGCAUGGCUAGAGUACGGUAGAGGGGGAUGGAAUUCCGCGUGUAGCAGUGAAAUGCGUAGAUAUGCGGAGGAACACCGAUGGCGAAGGCAAUCCCCUGGACCUGUACUGACGCUCAUGCACGAAAGCGUGGGGAGCAAACAGGAUUAGAUACCCUAGUAGUCC
rnacentral:rRNA from 1 species